UACGGAGGGUGUAAGCGUUAUCCGGAUUCACUGGGUUUAAAGGGUGCGUAGGUGGGCAGGUAAGUCAGUGGUGAAAUCUCCGAGCUUAACUCGGAAACUGCCAUUGAUACUAUCUGUCUUGAAUUAUCUGGAGGUGAGCGGAAUAUGUCAUGUAGCGGUGAAAAUGCUUAGAUAUGACAUAGAACACCAAUUGCGAAGGCAGCUCACUACGGAUAUAUUGACACUGAGGCAC
rnacentral:rRNA from 1 species